rnacentral:piRNA from 1 species
UGAAUCACUGGAAAUGCUCAAUC